UACGAAGGGGGCUAGCGUUGCUCGGAAUCACUGGGCGUAAAGCGCACGUAGGCGGCUUUUUAAGUCAGGGGUGAAAUCCUGGAGCUCAACUCCAGAACUGCCUUUGAUACUGGGAAGCUCGAGUCCGGGAGAGGUGAGUGGAACUCCGAGUGUAGAGGUGAAAUUCGUAGAUAUUCGGAAGAACACCAGUGGCGAAGGCGGCUCACUGGCCCGUUACUGACACUGAGGUGCGAAAGCGUUGAGAGCAAACAGG
rnacentral:rRNA from 1 species